GACGAACGCUGGCGGCGUGCUUAACACAUGCCAGUCGAACGGAAAGGCCCUGCUUUUGUGGGGUGCUCGAGUGGCGAACGGGUGAGUAACACGUGAGUAACCUGCCCUUGACUUUGGGAUAACUUCAGGAAACUGGGGCUAAUACCGGAUAGGAGCUCCUGCUGCAUGGUGGGGGUUGGAAAGUUUCGGCGGGUGGGGAUGGACUCGCGGCUGAUCAGCUUGUUGGUGGGGUAGUGGCUUACCAAGGCUUUGACGGGUAGCCGGCCUGAGAGGGUGACCGGCCACGUUGGGACUGAGAUACGGCCCAGACUCCUACGGGAGGCAGCAGUGGGGAAUAUUGCACAAUGGGCGGAAGCCUGAUGCAGCAACGCCGCGUGCGGGAUGACGGCCUUCGGGUUGUAAACCGCUUUCGCCUGUGACGAAGCGUGAGUGACGGUAAUGGGUAAAGAAGCACCGGCUAACUACGU
rnacentral:rRNA from 1 species